UGCAGUCGAGCGCGCCCUUCGGGGUGAGCGGCGGACGGGUUAGUAACGCGUGGGAAUAUACCCUUUUCUGCGGAAUAGCCUCUGGAAACGGAGAGUAAUACCGCAUACGCCCUUCGGGGGAAAGAUUUAUCGGGGAAGGAUUAGCCCGCGUUAGAUUAGGUAGUUGGUGGGGUAAUGGCCUACCAAGCCUACGAUCUAUAGCUGGUUUUAGAGGAUGAUCAGCAACACUGGGACUGAGACACGGCCCAGACUCCUACGGGAGGCAGCAGUGGGGAAUCUUGGACAAUGGGGGCAAGCCUGAUCCAGCCAUGCCGCGUGAGUGAUGAAGGCCUUAGGGUCGUAAAGCUCUUUCGCCUGUGAAGAUAAUGACGGUAGCAGGUAAAGAAACCCCGGCUAACUCCGUGCCAGCAGCCGCGGUAAUACGGAGGGGGUUAGCGUUGUUCGGAAUUACUGGGCGUAAAGCGCACGUAGGCGGACUGGAAAGUUGGGGGUGAAAUCCCAGGGCUCAACCCUGGAACUGCCUCCAAAACUAUCAGUCUAGAGUUCGAGAGAGGUGAGUGGAAUUCCGAGUGUAGAGGUGAAAUUCGUAGAUAUUCGGAGGAACACCAGUGGCGAAGGCGGCUCACUGGCUCGAUACUGACGCUGAGGUGCGAAAGUGUGGGGAGCAAACAGGAUUAGAUACCCUGGUAGUCCACACCGUAAACGAUGAAUGCCAGUCGUCGGGUAGCAUGCUAUUCGGUGACACACCUAACGGAUUAAGCAUUCCGCCUGGGGAG
rnacentral:rRNA from 1 species